AUUGAACGCUGGCGGCAGGCCUAACACAUGCAAGUCGAACGGUAACAGGAAGCAGCUUGCUGCUUCGCUGACGAGUGGCGGACGGGUGAGUAAUGUCUGGGAAGCUGCCUGAUGGAGGGGGAUAACUACUGGAAACGGUAGCUAAUACCGCAUAAUGUCGCAAGACCAAAGAGGGGGACCUUCGGGCCUCUUGCCAUCGGAUGUGCCCAGAUGGGAUUAGCUUGUUGGUGGGGUAACGGCUCACCAAGGCGACGAUCCCUAGCUGGUCUGAGAGGAUGACCAGCCACACUGGGACUGAGACACGGUCCAGACUCCUACGGGAGGCGGCAGUGGGGAAUAUUGCACAAUGGGCGCAAGCCUGAUGCAGCCAUGCCGCGUGUAUGAAGAAGGCCUUCGGGUUGUAAAGUACUUUCAGCGGGGAGGAAGGGAGUAAAGUUAAUACCUUUGCUCAUUGACGUUACCCGCAGAAGAAGCACCGGCUAACUCCGUG
rnacentral:rRNA from 1 species